rnacentral:rRNA from 1 species
AUUGAACGCUGGCGGCAGGCCUAACACAUGCAAGUCGAACGAGUGGCGGACGGGCGAGUAGUGUAUGGGAAACUGCCCGAUGGAGGGGGAUAACUAGUGGAACCGGUAGAUACAAUUGCAUACCAUCGGUUGUGGCGAGAUGGGAUUAGCUACUCGGUGGGGUAACGGCUAACCUAGGCGACGGUCCCUAGCUGGUCUGAGAGGAUGACCGGCCACACUGGAACUGAGACACGGUCCAGACUCCUACGGGAGGCAGCAGUGGGGAAUAUUGCAAAAUGGGCGCAAGCCUGAUGCAGCCAUGCCGCGUGUAUGAAGAAGGCCUUCGGGUUGUAAAGUACUUUCAGCGAGGAGGCGUUACUCGCAGAAGAAGCACCGGCUAACUCCGUGCCAGCAGCCGCGGUAAUUC